rnacentral:tRNA from 1 species
GGGAGCGGAAGGGUCCCGGUGGGUUCCGCGGUCUUCAAAACCGUUGGGAGGCUAGCACUGCUGGUCUCCGGUGGGUUCGACUCCCACGCGCUCCC